rnacentral:lncRNA from 1 species
UGUUGGGAAAUAUACACAAAUACUUCCGCCCAUUAUCAAAUCGAAAGCAAUAUCAAAGAUAUAAAUUAUCUAAGACGGAAAAAAAUAAUGACACCGAUAUUUAACGUGGUUCGGCCAAACUGCCUACGUCCACGGACCCACCCCAAUAUAUUAGAGAAUCUCACAAAGGAGGAGUACAACAAUACCACACUGUAUUUUGUAUCUUGCCUACACAGAGGCUAUCUCUCGACUCACUUUUAUCACUCGUGUUUAACUUCCACACUGAAGUUUUCUCUCACUAUAUUUUCUCACUCUCUAACACUUCUUUCACAAGACUUCUUUUGUGAAUUUGGGAUACGCUUCAAGUUGCUGCGAUGCACAUAUUUAUAGCCUCCAUUUGUUGAUUCCACCUCACAUCCCAACUUUCUCAAAGUUAAUGGGGCUGCACUUUCCUCUUUGGUGGUGGCAAAGUUGUGGUGGUGGCAAACAACUUUCUCAAAGUUAAUGGUGGUGGAGCCUCCAUGUUUUGGCUAACAAUUUUAGAGGUUAUGAUGGGAUGAUAGUAUAUGACACGUUGUGUUGGGGAAGAAUGAAAUGUAAAUUUGCUUCAAAACUCUAAAUGCAGAUUGACAAAUAAUCUGAAAAAAAAAAAUUCAAAUUCACUUUUUUUGUUUCUCAUCGCUUUCUCCCUACCAAACCCUGUUUGCAGAUGGCCUCAAAAUGUACCGCGAAGCUCCUCCAUUCCAUGGUAGAAUUUAAAAUGUCAAGUAAAUAAAGAAAAGU